rnacentral:rRNA from 1 species
UGGGGGAUAUUGCGCAAUGGGGGAAACCCUGACGCAGCAACGCCGCGUGAAGGAAGAAGGCCUUCGGGUUGUAAACUUCUUUAAGUGUGGAAGAUAAUGACGGUACACACAGAAUAAGCCACGGCUAACUACGUGCCAGCAGCCGCGGUAAUACGGGGGGUGCAAGCGUUGUCCGGAAUCAUUGGGCGUAAAGCGUUCGUAGGCGGUAUGUCAAGUCUGGUGUUAAAGCCCGAGGCUCAACCUCGGUUCGGCAUUGGAUACUGGCAAACUAGAAUGUGGUAGAGGUAAAGGGAAUUCCUGGUGUAGCGGUGAAAUGCGUAGAUAUCAGGAGGAACAUCGGUGGCGAAAGCGCUUUACUGGACCAUUAUUGACGCUGAGGAACGAAAGCCAGGGGAGCAAAUG